rnacentral:rRNA from 1 species
UACAGAGGGUGCGAGCGUUAAUCGGAAUUACUGGGCGUAAAGCGCGCGUAGGCGGCUUUGCAAGUCGGGUGUGAAAUCCCCAGGCUUAACCUGGGAAUUGCGAUGAAGACUGCAAGGCUAGAAUCUGGCAGAGGGGGGUAGAAUUCCACGUGUAGCAGUGAAAUGCGUAGAGAUGUGGAGGAACGCCGAUGGCGAAGGCAGCCCCCUGGGUCAAGAUUGACGCUCAUGCACGAAAGCUGGGGAGCAAACAGG